GUGGGUUCGAUAAUUGGGGUGAAGUCGUAACAAGGUAGCCGUAUCGGAAGGUGCGGCUGGAUCACCUCCUUUCUAAGGAGA
rnacentral:rRNA from 1 species